GCCGUUGACGGUCCAUUUUGGAGUCGUUACACUGUGUACAUGAACAUGGAAGUUAUUGAACUAAUUGUUAUGAUCUGUGAGUGGUGUUAGAGGAAGAGUAUUGUUUGCAGGAGUUAGCCCAAGUGUUGAAGCGUGCUUCUGAGAUGGGUGAACCUUUUAGGGGAUGAGAUCAUUAUUUGCCUAAACCUUAGCAACACUCUCUUUAAAUAUUU
rnacentral:lncRNA from 1 species